rnacentral:tRNA from 1 species
CAGGGAGACAACAAAAUGUUAAAUAUUAAUUUUGUCACCUUAGGUCGAUCGGUAUCUCACAUUCUUAGUUUAUUAAGAAUUUUAUUUCCUAAGUUUUUCUAGGUCACACCCAUUACUUUUCCUGGGCCAUUAGCUCAGGUGGUUAGAGCGCACCCCUGAUAAGGGUGAGGUCCCUGGUUCAAGUCCAGGAUGGCCCAUAUCUCUAUGUUGGGGGUAUAGCUCAGUUGGUAGAGCGCCUGCUUUGCAAGCAGGAUGUCAGCGGUUCGAGUCCGCUUACCUCCACUGAUUUCCACCUCUUCCAUAUUUUCAGAAGGGAAAUGUUUUGAGUUGUGAUCAAAUUCUGAAAGAAUCUAGCUUCCUAAUGAAAUCAUUAAGAUGCUGGACUCAUUGAAUUAAUUUCAUUGUUUUCAGAGAACCUUGACAACUGCAUAGAUUAUUUUUAAAGACAAUAAGCAUCUUUAAUGAUGCAGAUUUAUUAUUUGUGCGAAUGCAUUAAUAACAAUUCUAUUAAGCUGAUGCUUCAUUUUUGAAGUUAUU